rnacentral:rRNA from 1 species
CCUCUCUGUUCAGCGACUGUGCGCUUAUGCACUUCCCUGUUAUCGGUUGGCAGGGAUAGUGCGCACGUUGCUGUUAAUCAACCCCCAAUACCUGAACCAAAUAUAAUACUGAAGCAUAUGGCUUACACUGAAUGGUGUAGUCUUAACAAAUGACAACUCUCAACAACGGAUAUCUUGGCUCUCGCAACGAUGAAGAACGCAGCGAAAUGCGAUACGUAGUGUGAAUUGCAGAAUUCCGUGAACCAUCAAAUCUUUGAACGCAUAUUGCGCUCGAGGCUUCGGCCGAGAGCAUGUCUGCCUCAGCGUCGGUAUUACCCCUCGCUUCUCAACCCCUGGUUGAUGCCUGCCUGCCUUUGCAGUUGGCUAGAAGCGGAUCUGGCUUUCCCAAUUGCCUUUGGUAGUUGGGUCAGCUGAAGCACAGAGGCUUGAGCAAGGACCCUUAUUGGGCUUCAACUGGAUAGGUAGAACUGGUCUUAGGACCAACUACACGAAGUUGUUGCUUGUGGUCUUUGUCUGGAGGCCAGCAGGAAACCUUUAUACCUUCGACCUGAGCUCAG